GACGAACGCUGGCGGCGUGCCUAAUACAUGCAAGUCGAGCGAGCUUGCCUAGAUGAAUUUGGUGCUUGCACCAGAUGAAACUAGAUACAAGCGAGCGGCGGACGGGUGAGUAACACGUGGGUAACCUGCCCAAGAGACUGGGAUAACACCUGGAAACAGAUGCUAAUACCGGAUAACAACACUAGACGCAUGUCUAGAGUUUAAAAGAUGGUUCUGCUAUCACUCUUGGAUGGACCUGCGGUGCAUUAGCUAGUUGGUAAGGUAACGGCUUACCAAGGCAAUGAUGCAUAGCCGAGUUGAGAGACUGAUCGGCCACAUUGGGACUGAGACACGGCCCAAACUCCUACGGGAGGCAGCAGUAGGGAAUCUUCCACAAUGAACGCAAGUCUGAUGGAGCAGCGCCGCGUGAGUGAAGAAGGGUUUCGGCUCGUAAAGCUCUGUUGGUAGUGAAGAAAGAUAGAGGUAGUAACUGGCCUUUAUUUGACGGUAAUUACUUAGAAAGUCACGGCUAACUACGUGCCAGCAGCCGCGGUAAUACGUAGGUGGCAAGCGUUGUCCGGAUUUAUUGGGCGUAAAGCGAGUGCAGGCGGUUCAAUAAGUCUGAUGUGAAAGCCUUCGGCUCAACCGGAGAAUUGCAUCAGAAACUGUUGAACUUGAGUGCAGAAGAGGAGAGUGGAACUCCAUGUGUAGCGGUGGAAUGCGUAGAUAUAUGGAAGAACACCAGUGGCGAAGGCGGCUCUCUGGUCUGCAACUGACGCUGAGGCUCGAAAGCAUGGGUAGCGAACAGG
rnacentral:rRNA from 1 species